rnacentral:rRNA from 1 species
GACGUAGGGCGCGAGCGUUGUCCGGAUUUAUUGGGCGUAAAGAGCUCGUAGGCGGCUUGUCGCGUCUGCCGUGAAAUUUCGAGGCUCAACCUCGAACUUGCGGUGGGUACGGGCAGACUAGAGUGUGGUAGGGGAGACUGGAAUUCCUGGUGUAGCGGUGAAAUGCGCAGAUAUCAGGAGGAACACCGAUGGCGAAGGCAGGUCUCUGGGCCACUACUGACGCUGAGAAGCGAAAGCAUGGGGGAGCGAAACAGG